AUCUAUUCAAACACCAUUUUGCGAUUUCUGACACCUCGUAUGACAGCUACAUCUGCAGCCUGAUUCUAACGCUGGACUGAGGCUC
rnacentral:snoRNA from 2 species